rnacentral:lncRNA from 1 species
UUUCACUUGUAAAUGGGGGCUAAGUAGUGUUUAUAAGGGUAUUUUGCGGCGUUAACAUAUUCUACUGAUGACAGUGAAAACAUGAAAGAGAAGGAACUCUAACUUUAAAAAUAUGUAACCAAUGAUUUUAAUAAUACGGGUCCUAAGUUUCUUCCCUUUAAAGCCAUCUUCUAUUUUCUGAUCUUGACCUCAGACCACACCUCUAAGCCUCUGAUGGCACUUUGUUAAACACUGGCAUGCACUUUAUGGAUAAUGGCAAUCCUAUAAAUUGUAAUUCACAAACCUGAAUGCCCCUUGCUUCCUAGUAUCACAUCAUGGAAAAGUGGGACCUAUUUGAAUAAUACUAAACCAUUCAGACUCCAGAGAGAGCCCUGAAGAUCUGGGUGCGUCCUCCAGAGCCCUAGCCAAGUCAGACACAGAGCAUUCCUCUUUCUUCUGUGAAGUUCACAUUCAGCAAGGCACGACCUUAAAUGAAAAAUCAACUAUGUGGGGCAGAACAAACUCCGAGAGCAUGGUGAAGACUUAGCAAGCAGCACUGACUGGAGAACGACUUAGCAGAAAGAAUGCAGAGCUAGAGCGG